CAUGAUAACAGUCAAACUGUAUGUUUUAUUUAUUUAUUUAAUUCUUCUAUAAAAAAAUUCUAUACAAUAGUACAACAGUCAGUUGACGAAGAUGGUUAUUUUUCAGCGCUGUACGUUGCCGAAACAAUUUGGAGCCGAGAUUCUGGCAUUGGCCCUUGAUUUCUGAGGUUUAUGCAUUCAGAUGUUACUAUAUUUUCAAUGAACAAGAAAUAAUUCAGUUUUGGUGGGAACUAACUUGUUGAUUGGAGACCAUAGCUUGAGGGCCAGGGAUUAUACUAGGAGGUUUGCUAGCUAUGUCAGUCCAAUCUAAUAAAGGAUGAUGCAUAAACUGAUGGGGGUUCAUCUUGUUGAAUUCCUUGAAAGCUGGGUAACUUUUGAGGCUCUUUCAUUGAGAAUUUGGAAAUUUCAGAUUUCUUGACUGUAAGUGCUGAGCAGGUUUGCUUCUUUGAGUAGUUAGUAGCCUCUGCCUGCCUCUGACAUGUAUGUAAAUUUGUAACUUUUGAUAAGUCAAAUGUUGUUUUGUGUUUGUUAUACUUUGUAUACUGUCAUUGAAAUAAUAUCAUGCGAAUUAUUUGAGAUUAA